UAUAAAAUGUUCCCCAUAACACUUUUGAUACUGUUUUUAAUUUUAAAACAAACAAAUAGUAAUCUUUUACCAUCUUGCUUUAGCAAUGUUAACUUUACAGUAUACAGAGGCUAUGAUGAGAUUGUUCUACAACCAGAUAUAAUUAACCAAGAACAUCAUGAAGUUACAGAAAUAACUGUUGAAGAUCAAAAAAUACCUUUUCUUCAGACUGGUUGCUUCAAGAAGUUACCUAAGCUACAGUAUAUCACUAUUAAAAAAUGUGGUGUGCGCAUCAUUUAUCCAGGUGCAUUUGACGAUUUAUCAAGUUUGAAGAUCUAUUUAAUUCAAACUUUGACACAGAAGGACCAAUUAUAGAUCUAACAACGAACAAUUUGACUAGUAUUGACAAGGAUACAUUUAGUGGAGUCUAUUAUAUAGAUUCCUUAUUGUUAAACGAUAAUAAUUUGCAAAAAGUUCAUGUUCAAGCAUUUUAUAGUCUCAGAAGUGGAAACCUAUUGGACUUAGGUGACAACAAACUGGAUGGAAUACCCACAAGUUAUUUUCAAAAAUUUAAGGAAGUUGUAGAAGAUUAAGAGUAAUUUAAUUGUAUUUUUCAUGUUUAUAAUAUUUGUAUGGAUUAUUAAAAUUUUGCUUUAGU